UUUCACUUACAGUUCUGCAGCUAAUACAUGCCUAGAUCAGGUUGGGAACACUUCCCCAUUAGCUAAAAUGCGAUUAUCCCUCUUUAGCGAGAAAUAAACAUUACCAUAAACAGGUGUUUUGGCGUCUUUAUUGAAAAUAAUGGCAAAUCCCGUGCAACACUGAAUAAGUGCGACACGCACUCAACAUGAUGCGAACUGUUUCUAUGAAAUUGACAACAUAGUAAUGAAAUUCAGGGUUUGACAUUUACUUUUUUGAGGUCACAGAGUACGAAUUUGUUGUACGCGCCGUGUGAUUGGUUCGCAAAGACAUUGCUUAGUCUCGGGAUCAUCCGAAGGGUCUCGGGAUUAUUCGCGGACCAAUCACACGACACGUUAUAAAUUCGUACUCUGUGACCUCUUUUUUGGCUGCCAGUGGAAGAGAUGAAGCCCUGUCCGAUCAAUGCACGCAAGAUUGUGUCAAAUAAAAGAGAUGAGAUGGGUUUUGAGUUGAAGAGACUUGUAGUAUGACAUCUCCCCGACCUGCCGCUCGUCAAAAUUCCUUAGGUAACGCUGUAAUUACUUGGAAAAUGUGCCCGGAAACGGGGACCCCCCGUUUGUUUACAAAUUUUUGUUUCUUACCUUGUGUAUUUUAUUAUACCGGUAGAAGGCCAAUCUUUAAAGCUUACAAAAAGCGUGAAACGAUUACAUGAAUCGAAAGAGGGAUGAGAUAGACUGGGAAUUCAUACAUUUCAGAGAAAUUAUUGUAACCAAAAAAAAAAUUAUGAAAAAAAAAGGGGGGGUAGUAAUAUCCAUACUUCAGGUGCCUGUGUAGCAAUGUCAGGCAUGCGCGAGUUAUGGCACUUUCCCAUUCUGCUCCAUGUUAAAUAGGUCAUAUUUAUCAAUGGAUAAACGGCUUAUAAAUCCGUGCAUGCUUUAAUCUUUUGUGUUAGAUUAAAAGUUUAAGGUGUAUUUUAAACAGUACAUACAGUGAUUCCCGAUAAUUGUGCGAAAAAAAAUGAAUAAUGCGGGAAAUCUCGCAUGGCUAUUGAUAACAAUAGACGUAAUGGCGGCCAUGACAAGAGAAAACACCAAAGCUAUAAAUAGUUAUUUUACUCGCAUAAGCACAUGGUCAUAGCAGGUCAUGUGAAUGUUUGAUGAAAGCUAAGAUAUUGAGGAUUCUGGAAACAUCGUGGUUACGUAGAUCAAUGCUUAUUUAUGGAAAUUCAAAGCGAAAGUAGACGAUAAAUCGAGUUUAACCUCGUUUCUUUCGUUAUUUUGCCCACUUGACAAUACUUUGACAACUCUUAUUAAACACAGAAAUGAAUUUUCUUUCAUUUGGUAUAUAGUUUUCUACAGUAAAAUAUUGCACACAAGUGCACAAUGCAUUAAAACGAGUGACGCUUGAAAAAAAAUCGAGCCAUUUUUAGCAGGGGCAGAUAACUCCAUUCCCCCGUUAAUGUCAGCAAACUGGAGACGGAGUAUUUCUAAGAAUGUCAAGUGAUUCUACUGACCCAGGAGAUAUAAUACCACCCACUCCAAAAAAAGUUCAUAAAAAGAAAAAGGAAAAGGUGCCUGGUUUCCCUGAUUGGUACAAUGUCAAAUAUACAGAGGAUCCAGCAAUCUACAGUUACAAACUGAAAAAUGAUCUGGAAUCAGGGGACUUAAAAAUCAAAGUUUAAUUGACUUUGCAUUUGAUUUUCCUAGUAAAAAUAGUUCUUUGUUUUAGCCAUAACUUUAAUUUGUAAAAAUAAAUAUUGAUUUACUGUU